rnacentral:misc_RNA from 1 species
GCAGCAAACCGACAAACGGGACCCCGCACCAGCGCCGCGGAAGGUCCCGCCCACACGCCGCCAGCCACCCCAGAAGAGGCCUUUUCGCGGAGCAGCCACGAGCACCUUUGCGAAAGUCACGGGCGAAUCCCAGGCUUGCGGCCUUUUGUUUGCGCCUGACCAAGCGGUAAAGAGGCACAAAGCACCAACAACGCAAACCCAAGGAGCCCCGCCACGACGCCGCGCCACGGCCAUCAAACACGCCGGCUGUUUCGCAUAACCCCGGCCCCCGCGGGGUCGCGAUAAGAGGUUCGGGGGGAGCGCGGCGCUUCUAGGUGCGAGGGGCUGCCUUGAUCCAGCUGAAAAGAAAGCCCGCCCGGCCGCUUUGCAUUCCAGGAAAAAAGGGACACAAAGAGGGGUCCGCGAUAGGCGCCGCUAAAAAACGGAAACGGGGGAAAGCGCGGCCCACCAAAAACGCGGCAGAGGGACGCAGGCCAGCCCAAGCGAGAAUUUGCACAACCCACAAAAGCCGCAAACCCUCGCGCCUCCGCCGGCCAACGCGGGCAAAGCCCUUACAAAAGAAUUUGAAAAAGCCACCGGCACCGAAAUCCGAAAAACGCCGGCGACCCAUCAACGGCGCCGGGCUUUCGCGGCUUCAAAAACAAAACCGGCCACCCACAAAACAAGGGAUGCCGCUUUCUGCGAUUGCGCUUUGUUUCGCGGAGACGCCUGGGUACUUACGCCCCCCCCCCCGAAAAAAAAACCCAAUUGGCGGCCUUUUCGGCCGACAGAUAAAAACGGCGGUGUGGCCGAAGUGCCCCUGCCAUCGGCUUUUCGGGCUUUCCGGAUGCCCGGGCGGGUUCCGGGUUUUGCGUGCUUUCGGGGCGGCGGCGGCGCAGGGCCCCCUUUCACCCCGGGGCCGAAAGGCCAAGGGCUUCGCGGGGCUGUGGCGAAAGAAGCCGGCGCUUUCCGGGCCGCAAGGACGGCUUAAGGCAGCAGCCGCGCCAGCCUCCGCGUUUUCAAACGCUGCCGCACCCCGCCGGCCACAGGAUUAAAGCGGGGUUAUGAAAAUCAAGUUUUCCGUAAGCCCGCCGUUGCGGCAAAAUAUUAUUCGACACGUUUCGGCGAUCCCCAAAAGAAAAAAAAAGUGGCCCGGCGAUGCCGCGCGGCCCCGCGCAUCCUUUUAAGAAAUGCUUUUCGCGCUCUGUGCCCGUUUGGUUUUUUUUUGUUGCCUCUCCGGGGGCUCCUUGGUGCUGUGCGGGGUUUUGGGGGCGGCGGGUUCCCUUGGGGGCUGGGCGCGUGGGCGGCGGUUUUCCCCGCCCCCGGGGCCGCCGCCCCCGCGGCGGCGAGGCGGCCUCCCCUUUUCCAAAGCCCCACCAUUUUUGCCGAACUGACGGCCAACAAAAGGCCAGCAGACCCCACUUUCGAACGCCCCCCAGCCCAGAGGUGCCUUUUUUUGUUUUGCCGCCGCCCGGCUUUUUCUUCUGGCCAUGUUUUUCUGGAGAAGGUGCCCGGGGGCCAGGGGGAUACUUUCCCCGCCGCCCCGCCCAGACCAAAGCCGAAA